GACAGAGGCCUCAAGCGUUAGGCGGAAUCACUGGGCUUAAAGCGUGUGUAGGCGGAUCGUUAAGUGUCUUGUGAAAUCCCACGGCUCACCCGUGGAACGGCUGGGCAUACUGGAGAUCUUGGGCCAACUAGGGGCAACUGGAACAAGCGGUGGAGCGGUGAAAUGCGUAGAUAUCGCUUGGAACGCCGAAGGUGAAAACAGGUUGCUGGGGUUGUGCCGACGCUGAGACACGAAAGCCAGGGGAGCAAACGGG
rnacentral:rRNA from 1 species